AGGGCUGUAUCAGCAGCAUGAGGAGGUUCCCAGGCUAGGGGUCUAAUCGGAGCUGCAGCUGCCGGCCUACACCACAGCCGCAACAAUGCCAGAUCCAAGCCACAUCUGUGACCUACACCACAGCUCAUGGCACUGCCGGCCAGAUCCUUAACCCACUGAGAGAGGCUAGGGAUCGAACCUGCAACCUUAGGGUUCCUAGUGGGAUUCGCUUCCAUUGUGCCACGACAGGAACUCCUCUGUUAGCAUUUUUAAAAAUACCUCAAAGUCCAAAACAUCCCCCUUUAUGCACUUUCAGGGGUGGCUUCAUUACAGGGAGGUUCAGCCAGCAGCCCUGAGGGGCCCUAAUGCUGCCGUGCUGAUGCGAUGGUGAGGGUGUGUGAGGAGCCCAAGGGAACGGAGGGUCCCCAGGACACUCUGUCCACGUUAGCUGAGCGUUUGGAGCAGAGCAGAGCUAGAGCCGCCCUAAGGAGGGUCCUUCCUGUAGGGCCACCACCCCGCUUUACAGAGCAGGGACUGAAGCCACUAGGAUUCACCCGUGUCUGGGGACAAAAGACCCGAGCUGGGGUCUGACUCCGAAGCCAGGACUUCCCCGCGGUUCUCGAGGAGCGUCAGAGGGUCCAGGCCUGCAGCCUCUGGCCCACCUUUCCUCAGAGCGGACCCGUCUUCCACGUGCCCGUUGGUGCACAAAGGCUCCAGGAGGGCGAGGGCUGAAGGCUGGGGGCUCUGGGGAUCCAUCGCCAAUGCCCCCGAGGAGUUUAACUGCUGGAGAGAAAGAAGCACAGCACCCCUGGAUACCCCGAGGGUCGGGCUGGAAAAGCUUCCUGGCCCCCGGGGCGCUCUUUCACUUCGGGGAUGCUGCUGAAGAGGGCAGGGAACCUCUUCUGUAAGGGGCUCUGGCGGGAUAAUCAGGGCAGGGGCACCAGCGUGUGUGUGUGUCGGGGGGGGGCAGAGACAAGAGGUGGGAGGACAGGACUCGUCCAGGGAACGAGAGACUUCAGGUCCACAGAGAGGAGGGUCCCUGUGAGCAAAGCGGGAAGGACAGGAGCCAGGUCCCUGCGCCAGGUCCCGGUCCAGGGGAGGACGGAGGGCGGGUGACUGGGGAAGGACGGCGAUUAACUUGCAGAUUGUGGCGCCCUCUUAGUUUAUCACCCCCCCCCGCCCCCCGUUUAACGGUUUUAUUCAGGAAAAGAAACAGCUGCCACAGGAAUGGCAGGUUGAGAAAGGAAGAAUGGUUAGCAACAACUGGGUUUCAAAUGUCCAACAUCCCAGCCAGAUUUUAAAGAGCGCCUUGUGAGGGGUCAAACCAGAGCUGCAGCUGCCGGCCUACACCACAGCCACAGCAACGCUGGAUCCUUAACCUGCUGAGGGAGACCAGGGAUCGAACUGGCAUCCUUGUAGAUACUAGUCGGGUUCUUAACCUGCUGAGCCACAACAGGAAGUCCUGAUUUUUACUCUUUAAAAAGCCAAAUAUUUCACCACCCAAACCCCUUCACAAUGGACCCUCUACGAAGUGAGGAUAAAGAGUGUGCCCGACGUGCACUAGCUCCUGAAAGUCCAUUCACUGCCAGCUCCCUGAAGAGGAGGAAGGCUGCCAUUUGCGGAAUGCUUGCUCCCCACAAGACGCUCUUGCAGCCCCGGCGGCACUGCGCCGGCAGCGCGUCUGAGGGAAAUCCCGAAGCCUGGGAUUCCCAGCCAGGAUGCUGUUUGCAUCCCCAAAGCGGAACAGAUACUUAAAACGAGGAAGAGCACUCGGGGAAGAACUAACAAUUAAACCUUUAAGAUUCUUUAUUAACUGGCUAAACCAGGGAGCCCGUACCCCAACGCUGAGAAAUACCAUGUGUAUAAGAACAAACAGGUUAGUCACUAACCCAUCUGGCCCUUGAAGAGAGUUCCAUGCUGGCUAACAUGCAGCGGGUUCCACACCGAAUUUUGGAAAUAAAAUCAUGUGAACCAGAACAAUGGCCUUCCACACCAGGCACUGUGCACACCCCAGACAAUGGGAAAUUUAAACGCACAAACAAAAGACAAACAAAAGAAUCUGCCAAAAAGGCAGAGGAAACACCUGUUAUUUUUUUCAAAUGGAACAAGAUCCUAAUGAUUAUUUCAUAUGAAGUUUUAAAAAUACUGCAUCUUCACUGCAGUGACCACAAAAUGAGAUUUAAAGCAUUGGGGGAAAUAUCAGCACAACACUAUCUAUAGUUUACAGGGAACUUUCUGUCUUUUCAGGUUAUCUCUAUUGGCAAUAGGGGAAAAUAUGUUUAUAGACAAAAGGGUUACUUGUCUUUCGGAAAUAACAUGUGAAAGAAGAUCACCAUAUACACACAGAUACCGACAGGAAAAUGUCUCUAAAUUUGAAACAAUAUGACACUGAUUAUUUUGAUGGAAAAAUACUAUGAGACAAAUCUCAGAGAAGCAAAACUUUACAGAUGAUGCGUCUAUGUGUAUAUUCUGACUCUGAGAUGCUGAAAUGCCUCACAGAUCACACAAAGGAAAAUGGGUCACUGUGGCACUGUCUUCAGAGACAGAAACUUAAAAAAAAAAAAAAACCCAAAACAAAAAAGUCUAUUGAAAGGCUUGUGGAAAGUUUUUCUCUUUGUGCUUGAGCCCACCCCAUGAAAGGUCCUUUCAAGGAUCCACCUCGAAGGUGGCCCACAGGGCCCAGGGCAUCGGAUCAGGGACCUCAAUGGAGCUAUUGUCAAUGCCUUCUUGAAACAGCCAACGGGAUGCACUUCUUCCGAGAAAUACAGUAAGGAUGCUUGGAAACUCCCGGGGUGGGGGUGGGGAUAGGGCAUUCUUAUGGAAAAAAAAAAAAAAAGCAAAAGGCGAGGGUCCUCCCCCAGCUCCUGAGGGUGGGAAAGGGAUCCCGCUUGCUCACUGCUCCUCUCUGGUCUGUGAGCAACUCCCUGUGGUUUUCUUCCAGGAAUUCCUGUUGACACAAAGCCAGCAGAAUAUAGAGACCAAUGGGACAUAAAUGCUGGAAAUGGGAAUGACAGUGAAUUCCUGGAACAGCUGACGUCAGACCUGAGGCAGAAAAGUUCAGUCCUAGAGCCACCGCACAGGCAGUGACACGCCCGACGAAACUGCCCAAAGAUCGGGAAUUAUCGAUGCCAGAAGCAGGAGCUGCCCCGGACACGUGCUGUUCUUGACAACAUUUCCCCCUUCUUGUUCAAAGUGCUUAGGAACAUCUGGACGAGGUUUGAUAUAAAAACCCGAUAAAGGCAGAAAGGCAAUAAUGCAUUCUAAUAAAGUUUCAGGUAAUAGAAGGACUCACAGACUUUGAAAAACUUAUGUUUACCAAAGGGGACAGGUCAGGGGAGGGGUGGACUGGGGGUUGGGGACUGGCACAUGCACACCAAGGCAUAGGAAUAACUGGCUAUCAGGGACCUGCUGCAGAGCCCAGAGAACUUAGGCCAAUGUUCUGUGAUAAUCUAUGUGGGAAAAGACUCUGAAAAAGAAUGGAUAUGCGUGUGUGUAUAACUGAGUCACUUUGUGGUACAGUGGAAAUUACCAUGGCCUUGUAAAUCAACUCUACUUCAAUACAACAUGAAAAAAAGGGUUUUCUGUAACAGUAAAUGGCUAGUCUUCUGGAAAUAUACACAGAAAAGAUAUAAUAUUUAAUAAAUAUAGGAUGCACACAAUUAAAAUACGUAAAUAUACAUAUGUAUAUUUUGCACAAAGGUAUGAUGGAUCCAUUUCCAAAUUCUGAGGUUAUUGUAACCUGAAGACCUUAAUUCUAAGAAUUAUGUGAUUCCAGCAACCACUUCAGCGACCACUAGGAAAGGCCUCGGGAUGGCAGCACGGGGCCCCACAUCCUCCACAAAUGCCAGUUUCAAAGGAUUAAUCUAUUCAUCUUUCCGAUCAACAUGCGAUUUCCAUUACUCAUCCUUCCUUCCAAGAUAACUGACAUUUUGGAAGGGCACCCUUUUUGUUAAAUUUUAUUUUCUUUCACUAAAGAAGUCUUUUUAAUCUUCUGGAAUUAAGGAGUUCGUUUUCAUCCACAAAGUUCUUUUUGUUUAUGUCCUCGGUCUGAUUAUUCUACUGGAGGGUAUGCAGAUGGCCACACAUCCCUUUUCAUCAACGCCCCUCGAAAUAAAGUCCUAAAAAUACCAGCGGCAAUUAACAUUUCGGCAUCUCCUUUCUGGUUAGUAGCCAUCUUUAUGGAAUGUCUGUGUUUGAAUUAGAUCAGUAUUAGACAAGCAGAGACAGAUUAAAAAAAAGAUAAAGGGCAGAGGAGUAGUGCAUUUCCUCCAUCUCCCAAUCAGAAACUUUAGCUGUGCCUUCCAACGGCUUCACAGGAAUCAAAGUAAAAUCUGGGCCAAGGUUCAAAAAUUAAUUGCAUAAGUGGAAGACCAAUAGUCAAAAAGCAAAAAUCAAAAAGGAACACAGUAAGAAACUUAUUAAAAGGAAAAAAAAAAUCUAGUUUUAGGUACAAAUACAUAGUUCGAGACCCAGUGCAGUGACGUGUUUGGUGAAAAAGGCUGAUGUGCUUUCACUACAGUCUUAGAGGCACAGCAUUCAGAGGAGGGGAAAGAAAUGGUUUCACUUCUCUCUACACUCACCAGGCAGCUGCUAGAAAGCUCAGUUCAAGUCUGCAGGCCAGGACCCCAGAAGCGAAGGGGAGAAACUCAGGUGAUUAGAAUGGGGGGAUGAUUUUCCUAUGAGCAACUGGUCAGGAAGCCAUGCUGCAGGUAAAGCCACAAUUGAUACUUUAACAUGACAAAGGAUAAGAGAUCCUGUUCUCUCCCAAGUUCUGCUGAGAUGGAAAAGUCUGCAGGAAAUGGAGUUGUUAUGGGGACCAGGAGAUGGAAGAGGGGAUGGAGCCGAUGAUGGAAGGGAGAGCUCCCUGGAGCACGUGGAGUUUGGUGGCUGACACUAGAAGACGGGCAAGGCCAGCCGUUGGAGUUUGCACACGUUUAAGGGUGGCACGGGGAGGGUGGGAUUCCUGUACAGGGAGCAGCACAUGUCAAAGCAAAAACUUUCCAUGCUGCAAUCUUCUCAAGAGCCGUGGUGACAGCAACCACAGCCCAUACUCAGGAGACGCCACCUCCCGUCGGCCAAGACGGCCACUCUGGUCCCAUGAGCGCUUUGUCAGCAGUGCUCCACAGUGCUCUUAUUAAUGGUACUGCGCCUCGGGUCUUCCCAGGACAGAGCCUCCCCCGUAGCCCCUGCUGGAGCUCCUCUCUACGUACACAGGUGACAGUGUCUGGUGCACGCUUCCUGAGCUGUUUUG
rnacentral:lncRNA from 1 species